GACGAACGCUGGCGGCGUGCCUAAUACAUGCAAGUAGAACGCUGAAGGAGGAGCUUGCUCUUCUGGAUGAGUUGCGAACGGGUGAGUAACGCGUAGGUAACCUGCCUGGUAGUGGGGGAUAACUAUUGGAAACGAUAGCUAAUACCGCAUAAUAGCAGUUGUUGCAUGACAACUGUUUGAAAGGUGCAAUUGCGCCACUACCAGAUGGACCUGCGUUGUAUUAGCUAGUUGGUGGGGUAACGGCUCACCAAGGCGACGAUACAUAGCCGACCUGAGAGGGUGAUCGGUCACACUGGGACUGAGACACGGCCCAGACUCCUACGGGAGGCAGCAGUAGGGAAUCUUCGGCAAUGGACGGAAGUCUGACCGAGCAACGCCGCGUGAGUGAAGAAGGUUUUCGGAUCGUAAAGCUCUGUUGUAAGAGAAGAACGAGUGUGAGAGUGGAAAGUUCACACUGUGACGGUAUCUUACCAGAAAGGGACGGCUAACUACGUGCCAGCAGCCGCGGUAAUACGUAGGUCCCGAGCGUUGUCCGGAUUUAUUGGGCGUAAAGCGAGCGCAGGCGGUUAGAUAAGUCUGAAGUUAAAGGCUGUGGCUUAACCAUAGUACGCUUUGGAAACUGUUUAACUUGAGUGCAAGAGGGGAGAGUGGAAUUCCAUGUGUAGCGGUGAAAUGCGUAGAUAUAUGGAGGAACACCGGUGGCGAAAGCGGCUCUCUGGCUUGUAACUGACGCUGAGGCUCGAAAGCGUGGGGAGCAAACAGG
rnacentral:rRNA from 1 species